rnacentral:rRNA from 1 species
CUUGACAUCCAGAGAAUUUAGCAGAGAUGCUUUAGUGCCUUCGGGAACUCUGAGACAGGUGCUGCAUGGCUGUCGUCAGCUCGUGUUGUGAAAUGUUGGGUUAAGUCCCGCAACGAGCGCAACCCUUAUCCUUUGUUGCCAGCACGUAAUGGUGGGAACUCAAAGGAGACUGCCGGUGAUAAACCGGAGGAAGGUGGGGAUGACGUCAAGUCACCAUGGCCCUUACGAGUAGGGCUACACACGUGCUACAAUGGCGUAUACAAAGAGAAGCGACCUCGCGAGAGCAAGCGGACCUCAUAAAGUGCGUCGUAGUCCGGAUUGGAGUCUGCAACUCGACUCCAUGAAGUCGGAAUCGCUAGUAAUCGUAAAUCAGAAUGUUACGGUGAAUACGUUCCCGGGCCUUGUACACACCGCCCGUCACACCAUGGGAGUGGGUUGCAAAAGAAGUAGAUAGCUUAACCUUCGGGAGGGCGUUUACCACUUUGUGAUUCAUGACUGGGGUGAAGUCGUAACAAGGUAAGCGUAGUGCU